GAUGAACGCUGGCGGCGUGCCUAACACAUGCAAGUCGAGCGAUUCUCUUCGGAGAAGAGCGGCGGACGGGUGAGUAACGCGUGGGUAACUUGCCCUGUACACACGGAUAACAUACCGAAAGGUAUGCUAAUACGAGAUAAUAUACUUUUAUCGCAUGGUAGAAGUAUCAAAGCUCCGGCGGUACAGGAUGGACCCGCGUCUGAUUAGCUAGUUGGUAAGGUAACGGCUUACCAAGGCGACGAUCAGUAGCCGACCUGAGAGGGUGAUCGGCCACAUUGGAACUGAGACACGGUCCAAACUCCUACGGGAGGCAGCAGUGGGGAAUAUUGCACAAUGGGCGAAAGCCUGAUGCAGCAACGCCGCGUGAGCGAUG
rnacentral:rRNA from 1 species